rnacentral:tRNA from 1 species
GCCGCCGUAGCUCAGCCUGGUUAGAGCGCCGGACUCAUACGGUUACUAGGCUGAGUUAUCCGGUUAUCCGGGGUUCAAAUCCCCGCGGCGGCA